CUCACAGGGCUCCUAGGGCCUGUCACCAGAUGGGAAAGGAUGCCUGGGGAGGUCAAGGUCACACCCUGAAGCCCCAGGCCUUCCAGUUCACAGGCCAGGAGCCUGGCUGAGAACCCUCCUGCCUCCUGCCUCCCCCACUCCCAACCCCCUGCGCGCCAAACAGCCCCGGAGCCAGGAGGAGCCCAAUAACAGGGCAGCCGACCAGGGGCAGCUCAGCGGACCACAGGGUGGGCGUCUGCCGGUCCAGCGUGGACCCAGCCUCGGGGCCCGGCCGGACAGCGACGCAUUGGCACCGCCACCUCGGAGAAGGGGCAGAGGUGUGGGGGAGGUCAGGGUCCCAGGCCUCAGUCUGCGGGAAAAGCCCCACCCCCUCCACCCCCGGUGUCCCCCCCACACCAAAGAGGUUUAUGAAGACCUGUGCAGUGCACCAGAAAAAUACCGCUAUCAUUAAGGGAUUUAACGACAGCUUUGCCCAAUAUUGGGGAUUUGUUAUGUCUCUUAUUACACGUUUUAACAAGCACAUUUCUCCGAGACGCAGCCCCGCGUGAGGGCCGUCCUCUCCCUCUGCCUUGUGUGACUUUCAUUAGAAGGCGUUUUAUAAAGCCACGGAUCACAGAUGCACGCCCAGCCCGCAGCCUUGGCUGGCCGGGGCCUGGUGUCGUGGGCUGGGUGGCCGGGGUGUGCCCGCGGGUCUGUCUGCCUGUUUCUGCGGGUGCAGAGAGGAACCCCUGUACUCAGACCGCACCCCUCCUGACACUCCCGGCCGGGAGCACGACUCAGGCACGGACCCCAGGCUGGAGUCGGGCUUCCUGCCCCUUCUGCGACGUGAUCCCAGAUGAGCCUCGGGCCUCCUGAGCCUCAGCGUCCCCAUGUGUGACUUGGGCAUCUGAGCAGACAAAUGACUUCCAGCAUAUCUCAGCAGUAGGACUCUGUUUGCACACAAACCAUCAAAUAGCGGAAAAGCAAAUUUAAAAAGGCGGAAAUGGCGCUGAUUCUGCAGAAGCAAAUCUCGGCCGCCCCGCGCCUUACCCCCAGGAGGCCGCUGGAUUGCCACCAGAUGCCUGGGGUCUUUGGAGCACAGCUUAGGAUGCUGGCUGGUGGGCUGAGGACUGUGAUGUCCCCAGCUCCAGGGCCUGGGGCCCUAGCAUUGCGCCGACCGUGCCCACGGAACGACAGCCCUGCCCCGAGCCGCAGCCCUGCAGGCCCAGCCAGCUCGCCCCCCACCCCGGGGCCCCCGGGGCAGGCCACGCACAGGGGCGGCAGCAGGAAGAGUAGGUAAUUCCAGAGCCAAGCCCUGACUUCCGACAUGCACACCCCUCCCGACGCUGAAAUGUGUCUUCUGAGCUCUCUGCUCCGCGCUGCCCUUCCCGGCCCUCGGAGCACGUGCUCAGGCCUUCGCCGCGGCCUCAGAAGCUGGUGUAUAAAAGGGGAAAGCACGGGCUCCCUGAGGGCAGCUGGAGGCGAGCCGACCUGUAGCUGAGACCGAUUCCCGCCAAGAAACUUCCAGACAGGCAAGAUGUGCGCUGGGAAGGAUCCAGGUGAACAGGCCGAUGGUGGACGGGGAGACCCCUGCCCUCUGGUUCCCUGGCCAGAGCCCCCCCGGCACACUGACAACGGGUCGCCCGGGCCCGGGAUGACUGCAGCCUCCCUCCGGGCUCCCAGAGACCCUCCACACGGCCAGGCUCCUCCUCCAGCAUCCACACACUGAUGCCUUCUCCGGACUUCUGGAGCCCCAUCUACACCACAAUGGCAAGGGGCCAGAGCGGGGUCCGCCGGUCUCUGACUCCCCUGCCCCUAGCAGAGGGCUGGCUCUGAAGAGGUUCGUAAACAGUCGGCUCCAAAGAAGCUCAAAGAAAUCAGUGGUGGGGCCAGGACCAGGGCCGGAGCCGGUGCGGGAAGGGGCAGGUGAGGCCCCUGGCCUCCGGGGGUCAGGAUCGGGAGCUCACCGCUUGCCCCCUUAUUCUGGAAGGAUCCCUGGGUAUGAGAACCUUCCCCGAGGUCACCCGGGUCCUCCCUCCCUUUCCCAGACAGAUGCCCUCAGGACAGGAACGUGUGGAAGCCGGGACAGAGCGGCGGACGGACGCGGCCCCAGCCGUGACAAGCUCCCCGCCCCCCCCCCCCGUCCCCCCCAGAAACGAGCGAAGGCAUAAAUAAAUAAUAAGCCCUGCCGAUCGCGCACCGCUUCCCAGAUAGGGCUGGGCACGGCCCGGCGAUUACGCCCACAAUACCUCGCAUUCAUUACGCCCCUUAAAAACGGUGUGCUGUGUCUGGAAAACAGGAAGUGGCCGUCAGUCUCCCGUGUAAAAGCCAUCUGAAGCCCGUGGACCAGGCAUGUUCUCAAUCAGGAAGCAGGCAGUAAAUAAACAUUUACGUCCCGCGGCCGCGCGCACCCGCCUGCCCCCGGGCAACAAAGGGGCACGGAGAGCGGAAAUUUGUUUAGUCCUAUAAAAGCACAGGCCAUAUAUCAAUAGAUGGUUAAAAAUGGAAACGUGGCCGGCUAAUGGACGGUAUUGAUUUUAAUAAGCGUUAAGUACAUGGAGCUCGCAGAUAAGGGCCGCUGGGCCAUCCCUCCGCGCUCUGGGAAAGUGACUCAUGCGGCGAAAAAAAAAAAAAAAAAAAAACAAACCUCUUUUCCAAAUUGAAACUUUCACCUGGCGUAUUGGGGUCUGGGGGAGUGGUUUCCAAAUCGGCAUCUAUCCCGGAAUAUCGAGCGUGACGCGGGUGAUAUAUGGAGGCGUUUCUGCCGCGAGGUCAAGCACGUCGCACUCAAAACAGUAGCGGCACGGGCUCGCGGGCGCCUUGGUGGCAGGGCCACGGCCGGGCCCCCGCGGGGUGUCCGAGCGCACCAGCGCCCGCUCCAGGCUGCCGAGACGCCCCCCGGGAACCCCGCGUCACCCCGUUUGUUCUGCUUCCUCCCACCCGUUCACGCUGGGCUCCCCACCUGCCGGGCGUCCACAGUACCCGGGCCCUGAGAGACGGGGCCGCGGGGCCAGACGUCCACCCAGAGCAUCAGGUGCCUGCCUGGGACCAAAGCCCCUACCUCGGAGGAAGUCACAGCUCCGUGACAAUGACCAGACGGCCCUUCCCCAGACCGGAGCUGGUAGCGGCCGGCUGGGGUCAGGCGUGAGGGUCACGCUGGUCCCUGGGCCCGGAAAGGCCCGACCAAGUGGCAGAAUGCCCUCACAGACAUCCACUUGGAAUCUUCUGCUUGUCAUGGUAGAUUAGGUUGCUGCUGUUCCUGCAACACAGGAGCUCCACAAAGGCAUGGUCUUACCUGUUUGUUGGCCACCAUAUACCUGAGUCAACAUGGCAGUUGGUCUAGCACAGGUUACUGAACAUGGAAGGUGUUCAGGGAAUGGGUGAGUGAUAGAGAACAUGAAAGAAGGAAGAAACACAAGUAAGUAAAAAGGGUUUGAACCGUCAGGUCAUGGUUACAGAAGUAAGCAUGAGGCACCACGCCCCCACCCCUGCUUCCUCACAUUGGUGCGGGCACACCUUCACAGAGCUGGGCACAUCGCAGGCCUCAGACACUGGCUGCCUGAGCAAGUUCAUGAAAGAUGCCCUGUUUUCGCCUUGCUCCAAGGCCACGGUACAGGUGCAGUCCCUGCCCUAUAAGGUACACUUUUUGGGUUUUGCCCCAAGACCUCCUCUUCUCCACAAGUCAGUGCAGUUUUCCUGUCAAAGAGCCGAAAUGGGAGGGGCCGAGGCUUUGUGGGCCUGACCACCUUACCUCUGCUGCUGUAAUGUGAAAACAGCCAUGGAGAACACAUGAGCGGGUGUGGCUCCGUUUGUAUAAAACUUCAUUUACGGACACCAAACCACAGAUUUCAGGUAACGUACUCACGUCAUGAAGUAUGACUCUGUUUGCUUUCCAUUUCCAGCCGUUUAGAAAUAUAAAAACCACUCUUAGCUCGCAGUCCCCUCUGACUCAGAUGGCAGGCCAGACUCGGUCUGUAGAAUGUAAUCUGCCAACCCCUUUCCGAGGGUAGGGUCCCUCCCUCGCCCCUAAUAUGCACAUUUGGUGCAUAAGUGUGUACUAUUCCGUAAGUGACUUUCAGCAUUUGGUAGAUCGUGGCCAUGUUUCCCCUUCGCCUUUCCUGACCGACGUGCCGAUCACGUGUCUGUGGGGUUCAGUCAGCAAACGCCGCAGUGACGCCUCGGAACGGACCUCCCCGGGUCAGGCUGUCCCAAAACAGACCCGACCUUCACCCCCACGGUCAGGCCAGCGUGGGCCGGCUGCCCCACGGAGGGGCCGGGGCAGGACGGCGUGGCCUCCAGGUGAGUUCUCGUCCAGGGCGCCUGCCCCACGGACAAGAGGCCGCUGUCACACCGUGUCACCCACACCUACAGAAGUCCCAGGGCCCAGCCCAAAGCUCACAGCAGCUCGCCACCCCAGCCACCCUGAAGGGGGUGAGUGUUUGCUGAGCAACAGUCCAAACUAUCACAUAUGUUCUUGUUACUUUCCCUAAAUGACUAUUAAUUCCAUUAAUAGCCCACGGGCGCUGCAGGGCCGGGGUUGCGUUUGCGCUGUUGGCCUCCAGAAAGCACUGAGCAAAUAUUUGUUUGACAAGGAAGGGACACCCAGCUGUCUAUUAUGCCAUUUGCAUGAUAUUAUCGCCCCCCUCCUGGUUGUCCCCGGUGUCCCCUCAGGAGGAGUGACCAGCAGCUGUCCAGCCCCGGACGCCUGCGCCAGGCUGCGGUUCCGGCCGGAACAAAACACCACGGACCAGGCCACCCGACACAGGCACCCGCUGUCUCCCGGUCCCGGAGGCUGGAGGUCCAAGGUGAAGGCAUCGGCAGGGCUGGGCCCUCCUGACGCCUCUGUCCCUGGUGUCUGGAUGACCAUUCUCUCCCCGUGUCCUCACGAGGUCGGCCCUCUGUGUGUGUCUGUGUCCCCCAUCUCCUCUGCUUUUAGGGACAUCAGUCACAACACAGCAGGGCCACCCUGCGGUCUCAUGUUACCCUAACUACCUCUCUAAAGACCCCGCCUCCAAAUGCAGUCACAUUCAGGGGCCCUGGGGCACUAGGGCUCCCACAGAUGAACCUGGGGGCGGGGGUCACAGUUCAGCCCAGAGCACGGGGCCUGCUGAGGAGGUGAGCUCUGUCCCCCAAGAUGGGUGAAGGGCCCAGCCAGGUCUCCAGAAUCCCCACAG